rnacentral:lncRNA from 1 species
CUUCACUUCAAAUACGGCAAGAUUGAUAACAGAUCGUUUUUCAUAGAAAGAUCAGAUGUAAUUGCCCAUCGUCGGUAACAUUGGAGCUGACCUGCCGGCGACGAGCGCGUAGCAGCCGCGCCGCCUGGAGGCGAUCCCAUAUUUGGUUGUCCCCGUUUCGCUGCGCAAAAGAUGCAAUUUUCCCACGUUUGUAUCCCCCCUUUAAUCUUUCGCUGGGGACUCUACUGUCACCCCCUCUCACAGUGUUCCGUCCCUGACAGGGGGCCGGCCUUCUUCUUUCGGCGUACUUGCACGGCUGUAUUUGUGGAAAAAUCCUUUUGUGCUGCGUGUCUCGAACCCGAGACGUCCUGGUCCGUAGCUCAUCACUGAGCCCACUAUGCUAUGCUGUUAACUUGCAAGUAAUUCUUCGGAACUUCUAGUCUUGAGCAGGCGAUGCCUAUACACGUGCUCGGAACAUGCGCCGAGUUACGUAUGCUGUGCCGUCAUGUCACGUGCCCGAGACAGCCAAGCAUGCGCGGAGAGUGCCGUGUCUCCGUCGCCCGCGUCGCCUAGUUUAGAGUGCUGUGGCCACGAACAGUUUUUCCACGAACCGGUAGGUCUACGUUUGCUCGGCCUGGCUGUUGCCAGGCCAAAUCCGUCCCGCCAGGCCCACGGCAGGCCGUCCAGCUUGCCUUCCCCCCAGGCCAUCAGGCCUGGGGGAGGGAACGGGAGGCCCUAAAUGAAAGGCCGUCCGGCCUUUCUCGGGCCACCCUGGGCCUGGCUA